rnacentral:rRNA from 1 species
GGUUGACCUCGGAUCAGGUAGGAAUACCCGCUGAACUUAAGCAUAUCAAUAAGCGGAGGAAAAGAAACCAACAGGGAUUGCCCUAGUAACGGCGAGUGAAGCGGCAACAGCUCAAAUUUGAAAUCUGGCCCCUGGGUCCGAGUUGUAAUUUGUAGAGGAUGCUUUUGGUGCGGUGCCUUCCGAGUUCCCUGGAACGGGACGCCAUAGAGGGUGAGAGCCCCGUCUGGUCGGAUACCAAUCCUCUGUAAAGCUCCUUCGACGAGUCGAGUAGUUUGGGAAUGCUGCUCUAAAUGGGAGGUAUAUGUCUUCUAAAGCUAAAUAUUGGCCAGAGACCGAUAGCGCACAAGUAGAGUGAUCGAAAGAUGAAAAGCACUUUGAAAAGAGGGUUAAACAGUACGUGAAAUUGUUGAAAGGGAAGCGCUUGUGACCAGACUUGGGCCCGGUUAAUCAUCCACCGUUCUCGGUGGUGCACUUGGCCGGCCCAGGCCAGCAUCAGUUCGGCGCGGGGGAUAAAGGCGUCGGGAAUGUGGCUCCCCCGGGAGUGUUAUAGCCCGUCGUGUAAUACCCUGCGCUGGACUGAGGUUCGCGCAUCUGCAAGGAUGCUGGCGUAAUGGUCAUCAGCGACCCGUCUU